rnacentral:rRNA from 1 species
GAUGAACGCUGGCGGCGUGCCUAAUACAUGCAAGUCGAGCGAACAGAUAAGGAGCUUGCCCCUUUGACGUUAGCGGCGGACGGGUGAGUAACACGUGGAUAACCUACCUAUAAGACUGGGAUAACUUCGGGAAACCGGAGCUAAUACCGGAUAACAUAUUGAACCGCAUGGUUCAAUAGUGAAAGGCGGCUUUGCUGUCACUUAUAGAUGGAUCCGCGCCGUAUUAGCUAGUUGGUAAGGUAACGGCUUACCAAGGCAACGAUACGUAGCCGACCUGAGAGGGUGAUCGGCCACACUGGAACUGAGACACGGUCCAGACUCCUACGGGAGGCAGCAGUAGGGAAUCUUCCGCAAUGGGCGAAGGCCUGACGGAGCAACGCCGCGUGAGUGAUGAAGGUCUUCGGAUCGUAAAACUCUGUUAUCAGGGAAGAACAAAUGUGUAAGUAACUGUGCACAUCUUGACGGUACCUGAUCAGAAAGCCACGGCUAACUACGUG